CGCUGGCGGCGCGCCUAACACAUGCAAGUCGAGCGAGAACCGGAGCUUCGGCUCCGGGGACAGCGGCGAACGGGUGAGUAACACGUGGAUAACCUGCCCUCGGCACCGGAAUAGCCCGGGGAAACCCGGAUUAAUGCCGGAUGGCCCCACAUCCCUGCGGGGAACGUGGGAAAAGGUAGCUUCGGCCUCUGGCCGAGGAUGGGUCCGCGGUGGAUUAGCUUGUUGGUGGGGUAAUGGCCCACCAAGGCGACGAUCCAUAGCUGGUCUGAGAGGACGAUCAGCCACACUGGGACUGAGACACGGCCCAGACUCCUACGGGAGGCAGCAGUGGGGAAUCUUGCGCAAUGGGCGAAAGCCUGACGCAGCGACGCCGCGUGCGGGAAGAAGGCCUUAGGGUUGUAAACCGCUUUCAGGAGGGACGAAGCCACUCGGGUGAAUAGCCCAGAGGGUGACGGUACCUCCAGAAGAAGCCCCGGCUAACUACGUGCCAGCAGCCGCGGUAAUACGUAGGGGGCAAGCGUUGUCCGGAUUCAUUGGGCGUAAAGAGCGUGUAGGCGGCCAGGUAGGUCGGUUGUGAAAACUGGAGGCUCAACCUUCAGAGGUCGAC
rnacentral:rRNA from 1 species